GUUAAGAUGGCAGAGCACGGCUAUUGCGAAAGGUCUAAGCCCUUUUUACAGAGGUUCAAGUCCUCUUCUUAACA
rnacentral:tRNA from 1 species